GGACGAACGCUGGCGGCGUGCCUAAUACAUGCAAGUAGAACGCACAGUUUAUACCGUAGCUUGCUACACCAUAAACUGUGAGUUGCGAACGGGUGAGUAACGCGUAGGUAACCUGCCUGGUAGCGGGGGAUAACUAUUGGAAACGAUAGCUAAUACCGCAUAAUAUUGAUUAUUGCAUGAUAAUUGAUUGAAAGAUGCUAUUGCAUCACUACCAGAUGGACCUGCGUUGUAUUAGCUAGUAGGUGAGGUAACGGCUCACCUAGGCGACGAUACAUAGCCGACAUGAGAGGGUGAUCGGCCACACUGGGACUGAGACACGGCCCAGACUCCUACGGGAGGCAGCAGUAGGGAAUCUUCGGCAAUGGACGAAAGUCUGACCGAGCAACGCCGCGUGAGUGAAGAAGGUUUUCGGAUCGUAAAGCUCUGUUGUAAGAGAAGAACGGGUGUGAGAGUGGAAAGUUCACACUGUGACGGUAUCUUACCAGAAAGGGACGGCUAACUACGUG
rnacentral:rRNA from 1 species